UACGGGGGGGGCAAGCGUUGUUCGGAAUUACUGGGCGUAAAGGGCUCGUAGGCGGCCAACUAAGUCGGACGUGAAAUCCUCAGGCUCAACCUGGGAACUGCGUCCGAUACUGGAUGGCUUGAAUUCGGGAGAGGGAUGCAGAAUUCCAGGUGUAGCGGUGAAAUGCGUAGAUAUCUGGAGGAACACCGGUGGCGAAGGCGGCAUCCUGGACCAAUUCUGACGCUGAGUGAGCGAAAGCCAGGGGAGCAAACGGG
rnacentral:rRNA from 1 species